AGAGAAUUAUAAAAACCAUGAGGAGUUUUCUGGAAAAGAUGUGGUGUGCAAGAAAUAGGGAAUUGGAAGAUUUGUAAUGGAUAUAUACUGCUUGUGUUGUUUUAUUUUUACAGGUUGUGCCGAUACGAAGGCCUGACUCUCCAACGGGUCACCUGUACAGCAAGAGCAAGAGCAAGAAGAGAGUAAACACAGUCUCGUGUGUAUCCCCGACCCCGACCUUCAGGAGAAGACCAAGAAGAAGGAGAAGAAAUCACCAAAUGACUGGCCCUUUCACUUGGCAGCAUCAACUCACCAUUCAGCCGCUGACCCCCAGUGACAGACUUCCGGGAGACUGGAAGGUUAGCAGAGCACACGUGUGGCAACCAAAGAGCAGCUGUUAAGUAGCAGACGAGACAUAGAAAGGUAGUGGUGUCCACCAUGCUGGGAGGAGGACAGCGCUAAGUGACGGCACCCGACUCUGUGUGUGUGUGUGUCCUGACGCCCACUGCUGGUGCUGAAGUGAGGGUCUGAGGUGGGCAGCACAGGGCCAGAAGACAGCACCUGACUCUGUGUGUGUGUGUCAUGACGUCCACUGCUGGUGCUGAAGUGAGGGUCUGAGGUGGGCAGCACAGGGCCAGAAGACAGCGGCUGACUCUGUGUGUGUGUGCCCUGACGUCCACCGCUGGUGCUGAAGUGAGGGUCUGAGGUGGGCAGCACAGGGCCAGAAGACAGCCUCUGACUCUGUGUGUGUGUGUCCUGACGUCCACCGCUGGUGCUGGUGCUGAAGUGAGGGUCUGAGGUGGGCAGCACAGGGCCAGAAGACAGCACCUGACUCUGUGUGUGUGUGUCCUGACGUCCACCACUGGUGCUGGUGCUGAAGUGAGGGUCUGAGGUGGGCAGCACAGGGCCAGAAGACAGCA